rnacentral:rRNA from 1 species
GACGAACGCUGGCGGCGUGCUUAACACAUGCAAGUCGAACGGAAAGGCCCAGCUUGCUGGGUACUCGAGUGGCGAACGGGUGAGUAACACGUGGGUGAUCUGCCCUGCACUCUGGGAUAAGCCUGGGAAACUGGGUCUAAUACCGGAUAUGAUCAACUGUCGCAUGGUGGUUGGUGGAAAGCUUUUGCGGGGUGGGAUGGGCCCGCGGCCUAUCAGCUUGUUGGUGGGGUAAUGGCCGACCAAGGCGACGACGGGUAGCCGACAUGAGAGGGUGAUCGGCCACACUGGGACUGAGACACGGCCCAGACUCCUACGGGAGGCAGCAGUGGGGAAUAUUGCACAAUGGGCGCAAGCCUGAUGCAGCGACGCCGCGUGAGGGAUGACGGCCUUCGGGUUGUAAACCUCUUUCACCAGGGACGAAGCGUGAGUGACGGUACCUGGAGAAGAAGCACCGGCCAACUACGUGCCAGCCGCCGCGGUAA